AUUAUAUAUAUAUAUAUAUAUAUAUAUAUAUAUAUAUAUAUAUAUAUAUAUAUAUAUCAGUUUUAUUGUAAUUGGAAUGUAUUUUACGUUGUUGUCUUUUAUUGUACAUUACUGGGCUUGGUCCCCAUGUAAGCCGCCCCAAGUCCCCUUGGGGAGAUGGGGCGGGAUAUAAGAAUAAAGUUGUUGUUGUUGUUGUUAUUAUUAUUAUUUCCAUAAAAACCUCAAUGUUCUCUUAAUAAAUGCCUUUCUCAAGCACCAUGUGUAUUAAGAACACUACAUAAAUAAUAAUGGCUUCAGUGCAACUAAAGUUGGUGAUUGUAACUCAGUUUCACUGGAAGCAAUAAGUCUUAUGUUUAUUAUGAGCAACUUGGUCAGUUCGUGAACUGUGGCUGGAUCAGGGCCACCAUUUAUGAAGCAUCAUCUGUGGUCUACUUUGUCAAAGUCCUAUUUUUAUUAUUUUAAGGGUCCAACACAAGAUCUUGGCAUGUAUUCCAUCCAACCUCUGGCUUGUAGUGUUUUAUACACAGUGGCUGUUCUUACUCCUUUGUACUAGCAAUGAUCCAGCCAAGGCAACUGAGAGUGCAAUCCUUUAUAUGUUUAUCCUAAAGUACAUCCUACUGAAUCCAGUGGAGCUUUCUCGCUAGGAUGCUGAAAUCAGGCUGCAGCUCCAUUGGACUUGAAGGUGGCUAGACAUAAAUAGGAUUGCAUGCCUCAUCACGGGAAGCUGCUAAAAUCAGAUGCACAUUUGCUCUAUAAACUGAAGGGACAUCAAUCAAUGGUGUUGGUGGCUCCCAUAGAGUCUACUCAACAAAGAGAGUACAGGAAGUCUCAUUUGUUCCUUACUUCCUUUUCAGAAGAGUUUUUCCAACCAUUUCAAGACAAAAGUAAGAUGGUUUGAGCCCAUGAGCAGGGAUAUGUACAAGUGAACAAACUUCAUAUUUCCACAUUUAAACACAUUCCAUCUGGCUGUGAGAGGGUGAGGACUACAAUCAUGUGUGACAAUUCACAUGUUAGGCUCAUGCAUACAUUUAUGGACUUCUGCUUUGAGCGCAUUUUUAUAGAGUGUGUAUUUUUCUCCCACUGAAGAAAACAUGGUCAUAGCUAUUUUAAAAAUGUACUUUUCAUAAAUAUGUUGUACAUGUACAUUUAUCAAUCACACUUUUUUGAUGCAGGAAGCAUAUAAUAGCUUGCAAACAUUCAGACAACCUGUUGAAGGAUGCAUUUGGGAUUAUAUUUGGGUCUGGAUGGUGUGAAUUUGAUGCUGUCUGGUAAAAAAUGAACUAAACUGUACUUCUCCUUUCUGUCCUAGCUUUUUCACACUCUACUAUGACAGUGAAAAAUCAGAUCUCAAGUCCUCAGAAUCAAUAAGCAAAACUGAUAUAUUCACAGAGGUCUAAAAAUAUUAUUGCCCUCACCAUUCAGCUCCAGCCUGGCCCUGCGCAAAUCUUAGGAUGCCACUGAAUGUCCCCUAAGUUAUCAUGACUGUCAUUGUUUUAACUAUGCUUGCAGAAUUAAAUGACCCUCCAGGCUUUUUCCUCUCUCCUUCUCACAAGGAGUCAUAAGUCUUCUCAAAUAUAACUGAUUUGAGGAUCACUGUGAACUGGAAGAAAACAAUGACAGACCUUUGGUCAUUGAGUUAUUGAUGUUAUACUCAAUUCACUGAUAAUAGGUUUAAUUUGAUGUUAGGUUUUUAAUGCUGUAUUCAUAUGUGGAGUCUUGUUGGGAUUUUAUGCCAAUAUUUAUCUGUUUUUGAAGGCAUUGAAUGUAUGCCAUUGCUUGUUGGAAUCUGCCCUGAGUCCCUUUGGGGAGAUAGGGAGGAAUAGAAAUUAUUAUUAUUAUUAUUAUUAUUAUUAUUAUUCUAUCCCACCACCAUCUCCCCGAAAGGACUCAGGCAGGCUAACAUGGGGCCAAGCCCAAAGCAAAAUCAAAAUAUGACAAGUUAAAACCAAUAUAAACAAUAUCAUCAUAACAUUCAGAUAUAAUAAACAAAUUAAAAAUUAAAAACACAAAAUACAAAAACACCAUAGACAAACAUCACCAUCAAUGGAUAAAAUGGGGGCGAUCAAGUCAAAAAGUACAUAAAUUCAAGACCGUUAAUAAAGUGCCUGGACAAGUGUCGGGCACUAUUAUUAUUAUUAUUAUUAGUUAUUUCAAAAGAGACUUUAAAAAUAUUUAUCUCAUUUAUCUUUAAAAGUUAUAAAAUCUGUUUUUUAAUUUUAAAAAAUUCAUUAUAGACACAAGCAGAGUCAUAAAAUCUCAAAUGAAAUUCCGCUUACAUUUUCACUCAAUAAAAAAAAAUCAAACUCUUCUCUAGAUUUGGCAUGGAAAUGGGCUUUCUAAAAAUAUAAUCUACUGUCAUAACACUAUCUAAGCAAAAACAAUAUUAAUAAUUUAAACAAGCACAAUCCAUUCUAGAAACUUUGAUUAAUGUAUUCAUCACAAAUUUGCAUACUUAGAUGCUUGUUCUACAUAUGGUUGACUAAUACCAGAUGAUUCUUAGCACUUUUCCAUUUAAGUAA
rnacentral:lncRNA from 1 species